UGGAGAGCCUGAAUGCGAGCAGAAAUGAGCUGGGUGUGGAUGACGACACACUGCAGCAAUGGGCUGAAGAAACGGAUCAAACUGAUGGCAGCCUUGGAGCGUUGCAGGCACGAGUAGAGGAGCUUGUCGUCAUCAUCAGAGUGCGAACACAAAGUCUUUACAGACAAAAUGGUGUCACAGUUUCUUUGAAACGGACCGUUUGAUGCUCAGUUUGUACAGCUUGUACAGCUACUUUGUAAACAGAAUAAAAUCAGAUCCAGAUAGCAACAAGAGGCGACACAGAAUUCACAAGGUCAUCUUAGAUGAGAAGAAACGCUUGGCGGCUGCUGUUGACGACUACAACAAGGAAACAAGCAACAAAGCAAAUC